CGGUCAACGCUUUUACACCCCAAUAAAUUUACAAAAAGAAGCAUUCAAUUCUUAAGUAAUAUCAGUGUUUACGUGCAAGUGCCUAUUUUUUUUAAUGAAGGAUCGUCAAUAUGUACUUUCAAUUAAGUUAAACGUAUAUAUAUAUCGAUCAUAACGGAAUAGAUUUGAAAAUACCAAACAGGGUGUACUGCUUAAUUAAAGGGAUACGCGGAGCUAUACUGGGCAGUAUACAUAUUGUAUUUUUUUUUAUUUGAUUUUCCAAUUGUACUGCGUUAUUUAAUUCACCAUUCAGAUGUUAUGGUAAAUUAUUCAUAAUUCUUCGAACUUUUCAUCAUGUAUAUUAUAAUUAUCAUGAUUAAAUAACCAGAAAAUUUAAUAUUUUUGUGCAUAAAAUUUUGCACCCAAAACGCUGAAAUCCGUUUUCCGUCGGGGGCUUUGCCCUGGACCUGCUGGGGGCUUUGAGCGGACCCCAGGCCCCCUGCCGAUUUGUGCCUACAGUUGAAUGAAUACCUAGCUACGCCCCUGG
rnacentral:lncRNA from 1 species